ensembl:lncRNA
GGGACUCUCUCUCUCCUUUCACCUCCCCGGUCUCUCGCAAAUGCUCGCACAGAAUCGGAGUUACAGCUGGAUGUGGAAAAAAUAACUGAGUUGUUUGGUGGUGCUAUAAUGCGGAGCUACAACAGUGGGCAGCUAUCCACCGGUGUAUGACAGAAAGGACAUGCCGCGACCGCAGAUCGACCGGUGUUUGCUAACGCGGAGGUCAAUCGUGGAUCAGGGAAAGCGAAGGCAGGAGCGUGAGGUGAACUGAAUUUCAGUAUCAGCUGAUGUCGAUGUGGAAAAAAUAACUGAGUUGUUUGGUGGUGGAGCUACAACAGAGGGCAGCUAUCCACCGGUGUGUGACAGAAAGGACAUGCCGCGAAGGAGACAUAUGAGGCGGUGAGGCUACCGCCGAUCGACCGGUGUUUGCUAACGCGGAGGUCAAUCGUGGAUCAGGGAAACCAAGGCAGGAGCGUGAGGUGAACUGAAUUUCAGGUAAGAAUGAAAGAGAUCUUUGGUUUUGCCUUUGCUGACUGCUGAUCUGAUCGUCUCAAGUCUGGUGACCUGCUGCAGAAGAUCCUCUCUCUCUAUCAUUAUAAGCAAUUCUGUCUAUCCUAUCACUCUCCCGACUCUAUCUAAUUUGACAGCCAUUCUAUCUUGUAUCCCUCUAUCCUCUACUGCUCUAUCUAAUUUGACAGCCAUUCUAUCUUGUAUCCCUCUAUCCCUACUGCUCUAUCUAAUUUGACAGCCAUUCUAUCUUGUAUCCCUCUAUCCCAAGCGCUCUAUCUAAUUUCAGAAUCCAAGUUUUCAGAAAUCCAAGUUUUCAGAUUCCAAGUUUUCAGAAAUCCAAGUACCAGUACUUGAUCUAUCUGUUACAGAAUUCUG